UACGUAGGCAGCAAGCGUUGUUCGGAAUUACUGGGCGUAAAGCGCGUGUAGGCGGUGUCGUAAGUUUGGUGUGAAAUCUCCCGGCUUAACUGGGAGGGUGCGCCGAAGACUGCGAUGCUGGAGUAUGGGAGAGGAAAGCGGAAUUCCUGGUGUAGCGGUGAAAUGCGUAGAUAUCAGGAGGAACACCUGCGGUGUAGACGGCUUUCUGGACCGUAACUGACGCUGAGACACGAAAGCGUGGGUAGCAAACAGG
rnacentral:rRNA from 1 species